rnacentral:rRNA from 1 species
GACGUAGGGCGCGAGCGUUGUCCGGAAUUAUUGGGCGUAAAGAGCUCGUAGGCGGUUUGUCGCGUCUGCUGAUGAAAACGCGAGGCUCAACCUCGCGCCUGCAGUGGGUACGGGCAGACUAGAGUGCGGUAGGGGAGAUUGGAAUUCCUGGUGUAGCGGUGGAAUGCGCAGAUAUCAGGAGGAACACCGAUGGCGAAGGCAGAUCUCUGGGCCGUAACUGACGCUGGAGGAGCGGAAAGCAUGGGGAGCGAACAGG